rnacentral:misc_RNA from 1 species
GCGCAGGCACGCGUUUGAGCUAGGCAAGGCACAAAAAUUAAAAAAAAAAUCGUUUAAUUAAAAAAAAAUGUAAAUAUACACAUGAUAUUUGUGCACAUAAAUAAUUUAUUAUAACAUAAACCCAAUUUACCUAAUCGCAACAUACAACCCAAUUUAUAAUAACAUAAUCCCAAUUAUAAUAACACAUUAAUAAUUUAUGAUACAACAUACAAGAUACAACCCAAUUGAAUCAAACAUAAAAAACUAAAAUCUAAUAAGAAAUUUAAUCCAGAAAGCUAAUAAAAGAAAUUUAGAGUAACAAUAUGACAUCAUACUUUCACAAUAAAGAGUAAACAAAUUAAGAAAUUUGGACAAAAAAAAAAUUAAAAGCAAACCAGCAUAUGAGUAGAAGAUGGACGAAAAGCAUGGCAAGAAAGGGUAAAAACAAAAAAAAGACCAGUUGGACAAGACACACG